rnacentral:rRNA from 1 species
AUUGAACGCUGGCGGCAGGCCUAACACAUGCAAGUCGAGCGGAUGAAGGGAGCUUGCUCCUGGAUUCAGCGGCCGACGGGUGAGUAAUGCCCAGGAAUCUGCCUGGUAGUGGGGGAUAACGUCCGGAAACGGGCGCUAAUACCGCAUACGUCCUGAGGGAGAAAGUGGGGGAUCUUCGGACCUCACGCUAUCAGAUGAGCCUAGGUCGGAUUAGCUAGUUGGUGGGGUAAAGGCCUACCAAGGCGACGAUCCGUAACUGGUCUGAGAGGAUGAUCAGUCACACUGGAACUGAGACACGGUCCAGACUCCUACGGGAGGCAGCAGUGGGGAAUAUUGGACAAUGGGCGAAAGCCUGAUCCAGCCAUGCCGCGUGUGUGAAGAAGGUCUUCGGAUUGUAAAGCACUUUAAGUUGGGAGGAAGGGCAGUAAGUUAAUACCUUGCUGUUUUGACGUUACCAACAGAAUAAGCACCGGCUAACUUCGUG